rnacentral:rRNA from 1 species
GAUCCUGGCUCAGGACGAACGCUGGCGGCGUGCUUAACACAUGCAAGUCGAACGAUGAUGCCCAGCUUGCUGGGUGGAUUAGUGGCGAACGGGUGAGUAACACGUGAGUAACCUGCCCACCACUCUGGGAUAACUCCGGGAAACCGGUGCUAAUACUGGAUAUGACUCCAACUCGCAUGGGUAUGGGGUGGAAAGAUUUAUUGGUGGUGGAUGGACUCGCGGCCUAUCAGCUUGUUGG